UCCCAGACUCCUACGGGAGGCAGCAGUGGGGAAUAUUGGGCAAUGGGCGCAAGCCUGACCCAGCAACGCCGCGUGAAGGAAGAAGGCUUUCGGGUUGUAAACUUCUUUUGUCAGGGACGAAGCAAGUGACGGUACCUGACGAAUAAGCCACGGCUAACUACGUGCCAGCAGCCGCGGUAAUACGUAGGUGGCAAGCGUUAUCCGGAUUUAUUGGGUGUAAAGGGCGUGUAGGCGGGAAUGCAAGUCAGAUGUGAAAACUAUGGGCUCAACCCAUAGCCUGCAUUUGAAACUGUCGUUCUUGAGUACUGGAGAGGUUGACGGAAUUCCUAGUGUAGCGGUGAAAUGCGUAGAUAUUAGGAGGAACACCAGUGGCGAAGGCGGUCAACUGGACAGCAACUGACGCUGAGGCGCGAAAGCGUGGGGAGCAAACAGGAUUAGAUACCCGCGUA
rnacentral:rRNA from 1 species